ACAUAUGUUCAAAUCACCCUGAAUGUGCCUGACCUCAUGGGAUCAUGAAAGAGUCAAGCAGGCCUGAACCUGGAUAGUACUUGAAUGUGUGACCACCAGGGCUUGCCAAAUGUUGUAGGCU
rnacentral:rRNA from 1 species